UGUGUGUCAUUAUUUGCAGUUCAAUAACUGUGUGACGUAAACAUUGAUUAAGAGAUCAGGAUGACUUUUCCUGAAAAUUAAGCAAUGUUGAUUGUAAUCAGAAAUACACUCUUUUUGGUUACCUAUGCUUCCUUCCUUCAUUCUUUCAUAUCAAAAUCUACUACUUUUUAU